UACGAAGGGGGCUAGCGUUGCUCGGAAUCACUGGGCGUAAAGGGUGCGUAGGCGGGUCUUUAAGUCAGGGGUGAAAUCCUGGAGCUCAACUCCAGAACUGCCUUUGAUACUGAAGAUCUUGAGUUCGGGAGAGGUGAGUGGAACUGCGAGUGUAGAGGUGAAAUUCGUAGAUAUUCGCAAGAACACCAGUGGCGAAGGCGGCUCACUGGUCCGGUUCUGACGCUGAGGCGCGAAAGCGUGGGGAGCGAACAGG
rnacentral:rRNA from 1 species